CAACUUAGUGAGGUCCUAAGCAACUUGUCCAGACCCUGUCUACAUAAAAUAUAAGAAAGGGCUGGGAUGUGGCUCAGUGGGUUCAAUCCCCAGCACAAAAAAAAAAAAAAAAUGAUUCUGAAACUCUGUCCUUGUCUUAUAGCCACCUCGGGAGCAGUGCCGAAGUUCGGGUUUUGAGCGAGGCAGCCCAGGUUCAAACCUCGGCUCCACCACUACCGUGUGGCCUCAGGCCAACAAUGGCUCCAGGUUCUCCAUCCCAGAAUAGCACAGACCGUGUAUGUCACUGCGAGGUCCAAGGCUGAAUGAGGUGCUGUUUGUAAAGGGGCGCGGCUCAGUGUACCGUGUGCGGUGUCCCUGCCCUACUCCGCCACCUGCGCUCUCUCUGCCUCUGUCUGGGGACUGAGGACUCCUGCUGGGUCUUCCCACCUUCUCCUCUGCAGACACAUGGCUCCCUCAGUCCCCUACUCUGAGGGCUGGGCUCAGCCACCGUCUCCCAGGGCUCCCCUCCACCCGGGCUGUGGCUCUCCUUGGCCUGAGCAUUGGGGGUGACAGGUGGGGUGCUGGGGGUUCAGCUUGUCAGGCUCACUGCCAUUUCCCCCAGAGCUGGCACCCAGUAGGUGCUCAGUACCUAUGUGCUGAGUGAAUGGUCAUGGUCAAGAGGCCUGAAGCCCCGAAGCUCUCUCUCCUGGAUACACAGCUGAUUAGAGCCAGGGGACAAGUGACCCCACGGGAACAGCAAACCAAGCCAGCGGGCUUCUUCUGAGAGUGACUGAUGUGCGCCAAGGGGAAGUUCUGUUCGGCUCCAGGAGGCUGAGGUGCCCAGAUGCCAGGGCAAGUUCCAGGAGGCCCUCUGACCUGACCACCCUGAGCAAUGGGUGGCUUCCUGCCUGGGGCAUCUCCAAAGGCACCGAGUAGAGCAUGUCCCUGUCCCUGACAUCCGGAAAACACUGCCGGAGCACUGUGGCCCCCCUGCCUCCCUGCCACAGACCUGGGGAGGAGGGCUAAGGCUGAGGCGGACUGUGGCCAGGCCUUGGUGCCACCCGCCUGGGCACCUUGGAGUGAGGCCAAAAGAAAGCAGACCAGCACCAAGAAAGCAUGGACACCGCAGCCUGUGGCCCUGCCUCCCGUGCCCACCUGGACCCUGCGCGGUCAGGACCACGGUCCCUGCUUUACAAUGAACAAGGCAGGCCUCCGAGUAGGCAGGUGACUUGCUCUCGACCACACAGCCAGUGGCCCCAACUUACCACCAGGUCCUCCAGGGUCAGCGUCUGGUCCACGUCCCUCGGGAUCUCCACCUCGCCCUUGUGGGUCAACUUGGAGGCUGGAAGCCCACGAGGCUCCUUCUGUUGCUGUUCAAUGAUCUCUAGGCCCUGAAGAGGAUGAGCUCAGUCAGGGGCCUCUGGCCACCAAGGGCCCAGCCACACCUCCGCACCUCAAGGGCCCUCUCCUGUGGCUCCCCUUCCAAGCCAGGCCUCUCCCUGCCUCCACACUGGCUCCUUGGUUCCCCUCCCCUGGAAAGCCCACCACCUUCAGUCCCGCCUCUCCAGAUUCCACUCAUUCGUUCACCCUCCACGCUAAUCCUGCCUCCUCCAGGAAGGCUUCCCAGACUUCACCUUCACCCACAGUCAGUUCUGCCUCUCACUGCCCUGGGGAGGCUGUGGUGGAGAGAAAGAGCACAGGUGCCAAGUCCCUGCUGGACUGUUAAUAAACAUUCAUGAGGCAGUGUGGCCUUGGACCACCACCGAGCUGCCCUGCACCUUGGUUUACCUGUUCUCUGGGGAUUCCAUUAAGAGCACUGGAUUAAACAUCACGUGCACAGAGCCUGGCCUGGUGUGGUUGUCACUGUUGAUCAAUGUCAUCCUACCUGCAAGGUUCCUUGAAAGCCCAGAAGGCAGGGGUCCUGUCCUCCCUUGGCAGGGUGUGGGACCAUGCGGCCGCCCAGGGUCCCUGCUUGGCCUGAAGCUUUGCUGUUAUCACCUUGAAACUCUUAACAGUUUUUGAGCAAAGGGCCCCACAUCUUCAUGUUGCACUGAACCCCACAAACUAUGCAGCCAGUCCUGCCCUGGGACCCCACAAUGCCUGGACAGCUCUGCCCACAGCGGGUGGGUCCACCUAGUGGACUCCGGUUCUGAGCUCUGACCAGCCCAGGGUCUUUCGGAAGAGCAUCUCAGACCCCACCCCAUACCCUCUCCCUGGGCCACCAACAAGCGUUUGCUGAAAAUCCUCCAAAGCUGGCCAGUUCCAUAAUUUCCCCACCCCUGAAUUCCUAGGCAUGGCAAAGCCCAUGGACACAGGGUACACAGGGAUGGGACUGUGGGGACUGUGAGGUCCCUUCCCCAGACUGGGGUACCAGGAGGCCUCCAGCUUUUCCCAAGGCUUCUGAGGCUGGAAUGGGAAGAGGGACUCUUGGGAACUUUUCCCCCUGGAGGGUGAAUGACCACCCUGGACUCCAGACUGCAGACUACCACUUGGUCCUCCCUGUCCCACUGUCACAGGAGCCAGCUGCACAGAAAUCCAAGUGUGUCACCUCUCAACAGAGCCCUCUGUCCCCAGUGCCUUUCACCUCUGCCUCUUCCUGCUUACCCUGUGACUUCUCAAACGGCUUCCUGGUUCCGGUUCCCCAUCUUGUACUUCCCUGUCCUUGUCCCUGUCACCCUCUCCUAUCCCUGGCCGCCCUCUCCUGACUCGGCUCCACGGCUCACCCGUUUCUCCUCCUGGUCCCGCCAGCGGGACAGCUCCUGAGGGGCCAGCUGGAUGGAGUUCAUCCGCACCAGUUUGUGGGGGGUGACGUCCCCGUGAGCCACUUUGAGAAACAGGUCCUGCAAGGCAGGGGGCAGAGGCUGCACCAACCAUCCUGAGAGCAUCCUGCCAUCGGCACUCCGGCGGAGGCCCAGGUCAAAGCCCGCUCACCUGGUUCCUGGGGUCCCGCAGGUUGAACAGCAGGCUGCGGUACUUGGUCUUGUAGCGGCAACUGGUGUCUUGUGUCAGGUCAAAGAGGGCUGCCUCGAUGUCCCCAGCGAUGCCCUCCACCACCUCCUCACUCAGCACCAGGUCGGGACACUCCUGUAGGCUGUGGGGACAAGAGAAGGGCCCUGGGCACUGAGUCCAUGGGGUUAGCCACACACUGAGCCCCAGGGGAGACCUGUGGCGGGAAACCCAAGUGGGCCAACUCACUUCCGUCACGGGCAUCUCCCUACCUGGGCCUGGCUAUUCUUACCCAACUUCAUAACAAAUAAAAACGAACGUUCUCCUUCCACAGGAUGCUGAGGCUCAGAGGAGAUCAGGGCUGAUCAAUGGCAAAGCCAGAGUCAAAUCCAGAUUCCUCAGCCUGGGCCGUCCCUGGCCAAUGGAGCUGGGGAGGUGGGGAAGGGAGGGACCUGGCUGGUGGGGGUGAAGCAUCUGCCAAGGGGAGAGGAUAGUAGUAACCCUGAAUCUUCCAUUGACUUGCUGUGUGGCCUCUACAAAGUCCUGCCCUCUCUGGGCUUUGGCCUCACCUUCAGUAAAUGAGAGCUCUGGGCACCGAUCUCAGCUGCUCAGCACAGCCUCUCAUUGUGUCCGAAAGCAUUUGCUGUGGGUGAUGCCAACAAGGCCCAGAGCAGACACUGAGGGCUGCAGUAGCUGAAGGGCACAGUAUGACCUUGAAGGCAGAGAUGCCCAGGUUCACAUUUCGGCUCUCCGCAGGCCGGCUGGCCACGUGAGCCAGUGACCUCCCCCAGUGGGGUUAGUCACACACACGAGCCCUCACGCGGGUUCGCGGCAGCCUGCCAGCACACUGGGGAAGCAGAGGCCAGGCCUUACCGACUCCACAGUGCCUCCUGCAUGGCGCGCACUACAGUGGCCCGAACCACCAGAUCCUGGGGGGUCAUCUCCUGUCGAAGCUGAAGUCCAGCUGUGGGGGACAGAGAGCCUCCUGGGAGCCCCCAAGGGCAUGAGGCGGGGCAGGGCCCAGGAGCCCAGAUGGACAACAUCCUCCCUCAGGGACCCAGGCCCCCCUGUCCACAGCCAGGCUCUGGUGGCCAGCAGCCCCGGCCCUAGGGGACGGACUCUAGGCUGAUGGGAGGCAGGAGUCCCAGCAGGGGCUGGGGCCCUUCACCUGAGUCCUCUGCCCUUUCCUGGAGAGGUUCCCCAUCUGCAGCCUCCAUCAGGCCAACCUGUAGGGAGAGGUGAGGAGGGGACACUGCUUUCCCCAGGGCCUGCGGCCCCCCACGCUCUGCCACCCAUUCUCCACGGUGGCCGGGUGGCAGGGUGGCAGGGGCAGGCGCACUCACCCCCGAACAGUCGGCCCUGGGGAAGGGAUCCUUGAGGGGCCCAGAACAGCCGCUUGGAGGGAGGAAGAGAUCAAAGAGGCUUCCAGAGUCACGUGCUGUCCCUCCUAAAGGAGGGGACUGGACAACCUGGGGGCAGCAGAACAUGCUGGUCAGCCAGAGACAAAGGCCUGACGGGACGCCCUCUCAAACACGCUAGUCCCCCUCCUCCAACUGACCUCCCGGAUUCUGGAGGAAGAACACUCAGAGCCCAGGCAGCCAGGCAGGUGGGGCCCCUGGCUGCUGUCCUGAGAAGUCACACCAUCCCUCUGUGCCUCAGUGACACCUGCAAGUCAGGUGACGGAGCCACACCAACCACGUGCGGAGCCUGUUCUGUACCUGGUGACCAGCAGAACCCCGGGUUUGGGCCCUUUUCCUCCUUCUGGGUCUCUGGGCCGGCAAGGCCGAGCCGGCCUCCAUGAAGUCCUGGAGAGCCUCCAGCUUCAGCAGCUGCUGUCCCCCAGCCUGGACGUGGCUGAUGGCCCCCAAGAGCUGGAUCACCGCCCCAGAACCGAGCUGCGGGGAGAGGAGAACUUGAGAACCAGCUGGACGGAGGGCCCGCCUCCCCUGCAACGGCCGGCCGUCUGUCCCCCAGGAGGACAGGGGACGUGCCUAUGUCGGUCCUCACUGUUUACCCAAUGUCUGCAAAAGGCCUGGCAUUUAGCAGGAUUUAGUAAACGUUUGCCGACUGGCUGGCCCCUGUCCCAGGAGAGGAGCCUGGGCUCACUCCCACCCUCCUGAGCAAGGAGCCUUCUCACCUCCUUCUGACCAGAGGUGACCUCCUCAGGGGACACACGUUCUGUUCUCACACCACCUCCUCCUGUCAAAGCUUUGGACAUGUCCCUUUCAGAGGCCACUAACUUGUUUUUUGCUUCUCCUUGAAAUAGCCACUUGCAACCAUCUCCCCUUCUUAAGAACUGCCCACCACCCAGCUGUUGUUCCUGAGAGACUUCCCUUCAUUUCAAGAUGCAACACAGUUUUUGGUCUUCUAAUGAACGAUGGAAUCCCUCCUGCUCCUCUUUUUGCUAUGGCUGCCAGGAAGCAGCUCAGUGAUAACUUUGAGCCUAGAAGUUUGUGCCUUUCCAGAAUUGGUGGAGGGUGGCGAAUUCUAAUAUUUUAUUUCUCUUUUCCUUUGCUUUCUUUAGGCUUUUAUCCCACUUUAAGUGUGUUUUGAUUUUUUUAAAUUUAUGGCAAACCACAGGAAUUUUCUGGAAAGCAGGUUGUGCCUGAAAAAAAAAUUAAUCCUUGACUGGAUUAUCGUGGAAUGGUCAGGUUGCAAGGGAGAAACUGGAAGUCUAAGCUUCAGCAUCAUAGCCGGAGGAGGGUCACCCCUGGGGGAGGACCCACCCAGCCCGCCACACUGAAACAGGGAAGAAAAAGGUCAAUCAGAAAAGAGUAAAAAAAAAACCUACGUAAGAUACAAGCUUCACCCCAUGGGGCAUCUUCACGUCCUCCUUGGAGAGAGAGAGGAUGCAGAGAUUAGAAUCCAAAGAACCCAGUGGCGACCCCUUGGCAGGGAAUUCACUGUAAGAUGUUCUUUCCGAAAGGGUAUGCGGCGUUCACCAGGUUGACAUUUAUAACAAAAUAAAGUCGGGCACAAUCCAAUUAAAGAGGGAAGAGUGAAUACAUGGUAACAUAUUACACCCUAAAUUCUGUGUGGCCAAAGAGAUGAGGAAGUCCCAGUAAAAAUGACCUUUUACCAGGGUUUACGAAGUAGCGGGCCCUGGAGGAAGCUCAUCCCACACAGUCUUAUUAAGGUCUCUGAACAGUACGAGGCGGGGUGUACUACCUUUAUCCCACCAUUUCACAGAUGUGGAGACUGAGGCUCAGAGGGGCCCUGAAAAGUCCCAUAGCUACUAAGCUGGCGAGCUGUGUUGGAGUUUAAUUCUGAUCCGAAAGCCCCCACACUUAACUGCUGGGCUCUGUGGAGAUGCAGAAAGAUUCAUGGAAAGAUAUCAUGGUGUUAUUGGGAGAACAAGAAAAAAAAAAAACAGGUUACAGAACAAUAUUGGUUGCAUAAGCCCCU